rnacentral:rRNA from 1 species
AUUGAACGCUGGCGGCAGGCUUAACACAUGCAAGUCGAGCGAGCGGCGGACGCGUGAGUAAUGUCUGGGAAACUGCCUGAUUGAGGGGUAUAACUACUGGAAACGGUAGCUAAUCCCGCCUACCAUCACAUUUGCCCAUCUGGGAUUACCUAGUGGGUGGGGUAAUGGCUAACCUAGGCCACGAUCCCUAGCUGGUCUGAGAGGAUGACCAGCCACACUGGAACUGAGACACGGUCCAGACUCCUACGGGAGGCAGCAGUGGGGAGUAUUGCACAAUGGGAGCAAGCCUGAUGCAGCCAUGCCGCGUGUGUGAAGAAGGCCUUCGGGUUGUAAAGCACUUUCAGCGAGGAGGCGUUACUCGCAGAAGAAGCACCGGCUAACUCCGUGCCAGCAGCCGCGGUAAUAC